rnacentral:rRNA from 1 species
GAUGAACGCUGGCGGCGUGCUUAACACAUGCAAGUCGAACGGACUGCGAGGAGCUUGCUCCUCAAAGUUAGUGGCGGACGGGUGAGUAACGCGUGGGUAACCUGCCCUAUGCAGGGGGAUAACGUUUGGAAACGAACGCUAAUACCGCAUAAUCUAGUCGGUUCGCAUGAACUGAUUAGCAAAGAUUUAUCGGCAUAGGAUGGACCCGCGUUAGAUUAGCUAGUUGGUGAGAUAACAGCCCACCAAGGCAACGAUCUAUAGCCGGCCUGAGAGGGUGAACGGCCACACUGGGACUGAGACACGGCCCAGACUCCUACGGGAGGCAGCAGUGGGGAAUAUUGCACAAUGGGCGCAAGCCUGAUGCAGCGACGCCGCGUGAAGGAUGAAGGUCUUCGGAUCGUAAACUUCUAUCAGCAGGGAAGAAUACCAUGACGGUACCUGACUAAGAAGCCCCGGCUAACUACGUGCCAGCAGCCGCAGUAA